rnacentral:rRNA from 1 species
CAUACCACCCUGAACAUGCCCGAUCUCGUCAGAUCUCGGAAGCAAAGCAGGGUUGGGCCUGGUUAGUACUUGGAUGGGAGCCAUUUAAAAUUUAUAU